rnacentral:tRNA from 1 species
GCUGAGGUAGUCUAGCGGUAAGGCGCAGGCCUGGAAAGCCUGUGGGGCGUUUGCCUCUCGAGGGUUCAAUUCCCUCCCUCAGCG